CGCCCGUACCAUAGAGAGGGGCGGAGUGCUGUACCAGAGCGCCACCAAUACCACAGAGAGGAGGCUGGGGGGGGGAUGAGACGCCAGAGCGUCGUUAAUACCAUAGAGGGGCUGGGGUGCGGUGCCAGAGUGCCGCCAAUACCAUAGAGGGGCUGGGGUGUGGUACCAGAGCGCCGCCAAUACCAUAGAGGGGCUGGGGGGUGUGGUGCCAGAGCGCCGCCAGGCACUGAGCUGGGAUCCGGCUGCGUACAGAGCUGGCAAACCAGGAAUUAGGAAAGACUGCGCCUUCGCAGAAGCAUGGCUCGUGAGUAGCAGCUGUGGCACCUCGAUUUCCACUGUUUCUAAGCAUGAGCCUUUGCGGCCUUGAAAACAGGCUCAUGAGAGAUUUUCCAGCUGGGAUGGAGAAAUGCGUGUAGGAUGUUGAGGUUUCAUAACGUCAACAGGCCUUAUUUGUAAUUAAUUUCAAAUCUCUCGGUUUUUGUUUUUAAGAAAAAUAAACAAAGCUGCUCCUA